GGGUAGGAUCCACCCGUGAUUAAAACGACUGGUAUGACGUGACGGCCAGUGUUAAUUUGUAUCAAAAUUACCAGGGGAAAGCAACACCUGGGUCCACAUAGUACAUACCCAACCAUGAGGAGGUGACAGCCAGAUAACUCUGCUGCUAGGUCUUGCUGCUUGGACAUAUGGCAAGGAUCACUUUCUCAUGCCUG